rnacentral:tRNA from 1 species
GGGGCCAUAGCUCAGCUGGGAGAGCGCCUGCCUUGCACGCAGUGCACGCAGGAGGUCAGCAGGAGGUCAGCGGUUCGAUCCCGCUUGGCUCCACCA